GGGCGCAUAGCUCAGCGGGAGAGCGCCUCCCUGACACGGAGGAGGUCACAGGUUCAAUCCCUGUUGCGCCCACCA
rnacentral:tRNA from 1 species